YUYUUUUUGAAUAUAAUUUAAAGUAGGGCCUGCCCACUGAGAAUUUAAAGGGCCGCAGUAUCUUAACUGUGCAAAGGUAGCAUAAUCAUUAGUUUUUUAAUUGAAAGCUGGAAUGAAUGGUUUGAUGAGAAAAUAGCUGUCUCAAUAUUAAUUAUUUAUAAUUUUAUUUUUAAGUUAAAAAGCUUAAAUAUUUAUAAAAGACGAGAAGACCCUAUAGAGUUUUAUUAAUAAAUAAUUUUUUAAUUUAAGAAUUUAUUAUUAAAAAUUUAUUUAUUAAUUUAAUUGGGGUGAUUAAAAAAUUAAAUAAACUUUUUUUAUAUAAUUACAUUUAUUUAUGAAUAUUUGAUCCAUAAAAAUGAUUAAAAGAAUAAAUUACCUUAGGGAUAACAGCGUUAUUUUUUUUUAGAGUUCAUAUUAAAAAAAAAGUUUGCGACCUCGAUGUUGGAUUAAAGUUAAUUUUUGGUGCAGAAGCUAAAAAAUUGGGUCUGUUCGACCUUUAAAACUUUACA
rnacentral:rRNA from 1 species